AGUAAAGUAAUUAUUUAUAACAGCCUUCUAAGCUGUGGGUCUUGGGUUCGAAUCCCAACGGAA
rnacentral:tRNA from 1 species